rnacentral:rRNA from 1 species
GACGAACGCUGGCGGCGUGCCUAAUACAUGCAAGUAGAAGCUAGUUGCGAACGGGUGAGUAACGCGUAGGAACCUGCCUCAUAGCGGGGGAUAACUACGCGAAAGCGUAGCUAAUACCGCAUACUAUUUGAUCGGCCGAUAUCGGAUUAGCUCGUUGGUGGGGUACAGGCUCACCAAGGCGACGAUCCGUAGCUGGUUAGAGAGGACUACCAGCGAGACUGGGACUGAGACACGGCACAGACUCCUACGGGAGGAGGAAGUGGGGAAUGUUGGACAAUGGGGGAAAACCUGAUAAAGCCAUCCCGCGUGAGCGAUGAAGGCCGUCGGGUUGUAAAGAACUUUUGGAAGGAAAGCGGUACCUGCAGAAUAAGCACCGGCUGACUACGUGCCAGGAGCCGCGGUAAUUC